rnacentral:rRNA from 1 species
UACAGAGGUCCCAAGCGUUGUUCGGAUUCACUGGGCGUAAAGGGUGCGCAGGUGGUUUGGCAAGUUUGACGUGAAAGCCCCGGGCUUAACCCGGGAAUGGCGUUGAAAACUGCUUGAACUGGAGGGUCGGAGGGGGGACUGGAAUUCUUGGUGUAGCAGUGAAAUGCGUAGAUAUCAAGAGGAACACCAGUGGCGAAGGCGAGUCCCUGGACGAUACCUGACACUGAGGCACGAAAGCGUGGGGAGCAAACAGG